rnacentral:piRNA from 1 species
GUUUAUCUCCUGUGCAGCAUCUGAUUUCC